AGCUUUGCACAGUGGUAGUGUCAUAGCCAAUGAAGUUUAUCUGAGGCGAGAUUAUUGCUAAUUGAGAAAAGGGCCAAGGACUAGAUAUAGCCCCCAAGGUCACACCCCUAUAUUCUAAUCACCUUCCAAAAGCUCUACAUCUGAAUGUGAGUCUUUUGGGUGACUUUUUUUUUUUUUAACCAGAGA
rnacentral:snRNA from 1 species